UACAGAGGUCCCAAGCGUUGUUCGGAUUCACUGGGCGUAAAGGGUGCGUAGGCGGUUGGGUAAGUUUGAUGUGAAAUCUCCGGGCUUAACCCGGAAACUGCAUUGAAUACUAUCUGGCUAGAGGGUUGGAGGGGGGACUGGAAUACUUGGUGUAGCAGUGAAAUGCGUAGAUAUCAAGUGGAACACCAGUGGCGAAGGCGAGUCCCUGGGCAACUACUGACACUGAGGCACGAAAGCUAGGGGAGCAAACAGG
rnacentral:rRNA from 1 species